UACGGGGGGGGCAAGCGUUGUUCGGAAUUACUGGGCGUAAAGGGUUCGUAGGUGGCUUGCUAAGUCAGACGUGAAAUCCCUCAGCUUAACUGGGGAACUGCGUCUGAGACUGGCAAGCUUGAGUGCAGGAGAGGAACGCGGAAUUCCAGGUGUAGCGGUGAAAUGCGUAGAGAUCAGGAAGAACAUCGGUGGCGAAGGCGCUCUGCUGGACCAUAACUGACACUCAGGGACGAAAGCUAGGGGAGCGAAUGGG
rnacentral:rRNA from 1 species